rnacentral:lncRNA from 1 species
UGGUGGGACAUCCGGCUGGUGAAUUUAUCCCUCUAAGCUUUUCUCAUAGUGUACUUGGGAGACACGUGCUCCCGAGAGGGAUGGCCACUUGGCUAUUGAAGGGGCACUCAAAGAGGCAGCGACCUUCGCUAGCAGGAGGGUUCCCAUGUGGGGACCCUCAGUGACCUAUUGGUGUGGCUUGGAUCCAUUGACAUCAUUGACUGACGAAGCUACCAUCAUUACUCUUUGUAUUCCUGCUUUACUAUUGUCUUUGUAAUGAUGGUCUGAUUUUUAAGGAGCAUAUAUUUUUCCUUU